GGGUUGCGCGGGGUGCCUUGAGCGCCCUGCGGCAACCGCCCGGGGCGGCUGUAUCCAGGUCGUGCGAUCCGUGCAAGACGGAUUGCAAUGCA
rnacentral:tRNA from 1 species